rnacentral:rRNA from 1 species
UACGUAGGUGGCGAGCGUUGUCCGGAUUUACUGGGCGUAAAGAGCGCGCAGGCGGUCGUACAAGUCGCGUGUGAAAGCCCCCGGCUCAACUGGGGAGGGUCACGCGAUACUGUUCGACUCGAAGGCAGGAGAGGGUAGUGGAAUUCCCGGUGUAGUGGUAAAAUGCGUAGAUAUCGGGAGGAACACCAGUGGCGAAGGCGACUACCUGGCCUGUUCUUGACGCUGAGGCGCGAAAGCUAGGGUAGCAAACGGG